UGUCUCGAAAACAAAAAAAAAAAAAAAAUCGGAACAACUCAGAGAUCUACAUGGCCCCUGUGCAAGGAUGACACACAAAUUCAUGAAGUACUCCAUAUUUUU